rnacentral:pre_miRNA from 1 species
AAUAAACAAAUCAUGGGUUUCCGUGUUCAAUGUUUGACCGUCUAUCUUAUUUAAAAAAAAUUAUGAAAAAAAUAAAAGACAAGUCACGUAUAAAGUAUUAAUCAUGUUUUAUCAUCUAACAACAAUGAAAAUACUAAUUAUAAAAAAUUUCAUAUAAGACGGACAGUCAAACGUUGGACACAGAAAUCCAGGUUUUGUCUUCUU